CGUUUCGCGUGGUAAUUUUAAGAAUAUUAGAAAGCAGACGGGGACCAUCAACUUGGAUUUUGUAAGUAGUUGCGAAUGAACACAAAUUUGAUCACUUUGGCAAUCUGUACACAUUGCUGUGUAACAAUUUGUAUACGUUGGCACAGUGCUAUCAAAGCUGCAUGCAAGUGUUUUUUGAAAGGAUACAACAUGGGAUGUGAUAUUCAUGUGUGUGUGCCUGCUUUGUCCACAGCCUGUGCUGUAUGAAUCACAUUUCUUGCAACUGAAAUGCUAAUGGCAUGGUAAAGUUCAUGUGACAUGACACAAGCUUGAGAUUCAUGAUGUGCAAGUACCAUGAGGGAAAUGUGAAAAGGACUUUGGAAAGAGAAUUAAAUAAAGCCUGCAUUUGCUGACAAUGAAAGCAAGUGUGGAUGUUCAUGUAAUUGUUACUGCAUCAAUCAAUGUUCAUCUUGGUUACUGCAUGCUUUAUAUUACAGCUCAGAACAUGAAGUGUGUGUAACAGCUCUGCUUUGAUUUUUCCCACAUGGGAUCAGUUGAAACAUUGUGAGAGCACUCUUCAGUUUCCUUAUGUACCCACCAGCUUUGUCCACUCGCGUGUUGGCACACAUGUAAUGAUGAUGUGUUUAUGCAAGAUACUUCUGUGCUCAACAACAAGUUGUGUCAAUCCUCCCUUACCUUUUUUGAAACUCGGACCACGGAAAAAAAUCU
rnacentral:rRNA from 1 species